rnacentral:rRNA from 1 species
GACGAACGCUGGCGGCGUGCUUAACACAUGCAAGUCGAACGGUGACGGCAGAGCUUGCUCUGCCUGAUCAGUGGCGAACGGGUGAGUAACACGUGAGUAACCUGCCCCUCACUUCGGGAUAACCUCGGGAAACUUACGCUAAUACCGCAUAAGACCGAAAGGUGAAAGUGGGGGACCGCAAGGCCUCACGCGACAAGAUGAGCCGAUGUCGGAUUAGCUAGUUGGUGGGGUAACGGCCUACCAAGGCGACGAUCCGUAGCUGGUCUGAGAGGAUGAUCAGCCACACUGGGACUGAGACACGGCCCAGACUCCUACGGGAGGCAGCAGUGGGGAAUAUUGCACAAUGGGCGAAAGCCUGAUGCAGCGACGCCGCGUGAGGGAUGAAGGCCUUCGGGUUGUAAACCUCUUUCAGCAGGGAAGAAGCGCAAGUGACGGUACCUGCAGAAGAAGCGCCGGCUAACUACGUGCCAGCAGCCGCGGUAAUACGUAGGGCGCAAGCGUUGUCCGGAAUUAUUGGGCGUAAAGAGCUCGUAGGCGGUUUGUCGCGUCUGGUGUGAAAACCCAAGGCUCAACCUUGGGCUUGCAUCGGGUACGGGCAGACUAGAGUGCGGUAGGGGUGACUGGAAUUCCUGGUGUAGCGGUGGAAUGCGCAGAUAUCAGGAGGAACACCGAUGGCGAAGGCAGGUCACUGGGCCGCAACUGACGCUGAGGAGCGAAAGCAUGGGUAGCGAACAGGAUUAGAUACCCUGGUAGUCCAUGCCGUAAACGUUGGGCACUAGGUGUGGGGCUCACUCCACGAGCUCCGUGCCGCAGCAAACGCAUUAAGUGCCCCGCCUGGGGAGUACGGCCGCAAGGCUAAAACUCAAAGGAAUUGACGGGGGCCCGCACAAGCGGCGGAGCAUGCGGAUUAAUUCGAUGCAACGCGAAGAACCUUACCAAGGCUUGACAUGCACCGGGAUCAUGCAGAGAUGUGUGAGUCUUCGGACUGGUGCACAGGUGGUGCAUGGUUGUCGUCAGCUCGUGUCGUGAGAUGUUGGGUUAAGUCCCGCAACGAGCGCAACCCUCGUCCUAUGUUGCCAGCACUUCGGGUGGGGACUCAUAGGAGACUGCCGGGGUCAACUCGGAGGAAGGUGGGGAUGACGUCAAAUCAUCAUGCCCCUUAUGUCUUGGGCUUCACGCAUGCUACAAUGGCCGGUACAGAGGGCUGCGAAACCGCGAGGUGGAGCGAAUCCCAAAAAGCCGGUCUCAGUUCGGAUUGGGGUCUGCAACUCGACCCCAUGAAGUCGGAGUCGCUAGUAAUCGCAGAUCAGCAACGCUGCGGUGAAUACGUUCCCGGGCCUUGUACUC